rnacentral:lncRNA from 10 species
AUGAGUGAAUGCAUAUAACAUGUUUAGCUGAGUGUUCUGUGCAUAUUGUUAAUUGUCAUUAUUCCUGCUUUUGUUAGACACAGUCGCUUUUGACCCAAAGCUGCCAAAAUUUCAUGCUGGUUCCCAAACAGAUGCACUGUUCUCCUGACAUAGCCUGGAAUUCCUCAAAGGGUAAACUCUCACUACUGUUAUUAGGAUUAUUAUGAGUAAUGUGCUUUUCUUUGUCUCUGUCAGUCCUUCCUUCAAAACUGUAAAUCAGUAUUUUUCUAUAUCUAGCUGCAAUAACUGCAAAUCAUCAGGCAAAAUGUCUACAUGUGCUCCCUUUCCUCUUUCUUUCUUUCUUUCUUUCUUUUGAGGUGGAGUCUCGCUUUGUUGCUUAGUCUGGAGUGCAGUGCAAGACUUCAUCUGAAAAAAAAGGUGACCGGACACAGUGGCUCAUGCCUGCAAUCCCAGCACUUUGGGAAGCCGAGAUGGGUGGAUAGCCUGAGGUCAGGAGUUCAAGACCAGCCUGGCCAACAUGGUGAAAUCCCAUCUCUACUAAAAUACAAAAAUUAGCCAGGUGUGGUGGCGGGUGUCUGUAAUCCCAGCUGCUCAGGAGGCUGAGGCAGGAGAAUUGCUUGAACCUAGGAGGUGGAGGUUGCAGUGAGCCAAGAUUAUGUCACUGCACUCCAGCCUGGGCAACAGAGUGAGACUCCAUCUCAAAAAGAAAAGGAAAAAAAAAGGGGAGGGGGUUAUCAAGCAGUGCAUAGGAUCUAAAAUUUGAUUUCCUUAAGUUCAAAUUCUGGAUCUAUGACUUAUUAGCUGGGUGGCCUUAAGAAAUUUACUUAACCUCUCUGAACCACACUUUCCUCAUCUGUAAAAGAGGGGCAAUGAAAUAGAUCUCACAUAAGGACUAAAUGAGAUCGUCUGUGGAGAGCAAGCACUCAGUCAGGGGCAGCGGUGUUGCUAACGAGACAGUGCAACCCAAAAAAGAAAACCAUCAUCUCAGUUUACUCAGCUUCUGCUUGCCACUGACGGUGCCGGCCACCACUUUCUGAAGGGCGUCUCUGCCUCAUCCAUGCAGAUAAGAUUGUGUUCAUGGCCGGGCGUGGUUGCUCACACCUGUAAUCCCAGCACUUUGG